AUAGAUAGGGUGGGAGACUGGGAGUGGCAAUCAAAAAUGGCUGGUAUUCUGACCUACUUCUUACACCAGUACUACGUUCUAGCAUUGUUAGUCGUUCCCUAUGGAGCUAGUUCAGGGAAGUAUGAGAGGGUUAGGAUUAGCUGUUCUUCUGGUUUUUGGGGUGACACGUCUGAGUCUACGCCUCAGUUAGUGAGGUAUGGUGAUUUGGUCUUCUUAGUUGCUGACUAUCUCUCAGAGAUAACAAUGUCCCUACUGGCUGGAGCUAAAAGAAAAAAACCAGAUAUGAGCUAUACUCCUGAUUUCAUAUCUCACUGUAUCAAACCACUCAUUCAUGACAUCAAGAAGCAAGGUAUUUGUGUCGUUACCAAUGGUGGUGGAAUUAAUCCUGAAGGAUGCGUUAACACUAUUAUAAAACGUCAUGUCAUUUGAGGGGGUGGAGCUAUCAGCUGCCAUAAUAACCAGGAUGACAUGAUGAAGAGCGUGAAGGAGAUUAAGGAUAGUGGAUAUGCUGUUGAUAUCGAAUCAGGUCGGACAUUACCCUCAUCUGUACUGAGCAUGAAUGCUUAUAUUGGGUAAGACCCUUUAAUCCUUUAAGGACCAUAGACUCAUUUUAUGAGUCAUAGAUUAAUUGCUUUGACAGGCCAAUUGAUCCAUU